CAUGCAAGUCGCACGCAGAGAGCUUGCUCUCUGAGUGGCGCACGGCUGAGGAUCACGUGGGAACAUGCCUCCUUGUGGGGGACAACACCGCGAAAGCGGUGCUAAUCCCGCAUACGCUCGGGCAACCGAGGAAAGCUUGUAAAAGCGCAGGGAGAGUGGCCCGCGGCCCAUCAGGUCGUAGGUGGGGUAAUGGCCUACCUAGCCGGUGACGGGUAGCUGGUCUGUGAGGACAGACAGCCAGACUGGGACUGAGACACGGCCCAGACUCCUACGGGAGGCAGCAGCAAGGAAUUUUCGUCAAUGGGCGCAAGCCUGAACGAGCAACGCCGCGUGGAGGAUGACGGCCUUCGGGUUGUAAACUCCUUUUUCGGGGGACGAUAAUGACGGUACCCCGGGAAUAAGGCUCGGCUAACUCUGUGCCAGCAGCCGCGGUAAUACAGAGGAGCCAAGCGUUGUCCGGAUUGACUGGGCGUAAAGCGCACGCAGGCGGACGCGCGCGUGGGGUGUGAAAUCUGGCCGCUUAACGGCCAGGCGCCAUCCCAUACGGCGGGUCUGGAGUGAUGCAGAGGUCGAUGGAAUUGCCGGUGUAGUGGUGAAAUGCGUAGAGAUCGGCAGGAACACCCAGGGGGAAACCAGUCGACUGGGCAUCUACUGACGCUNA
rnacentral:rRNA from 1 species